GGGAGUGGGGAAAACCGGAGCGGCUGGCUGGGUGGAAGCCUGAGCAUGGCUCCUGACUGGCUACUGGGACUAAGCAUGUAGUUACUGGCAGGGACCAGGGGAGUGAGGAAGGACCAUCUGGCUGGUUGCCUGGAUUCAACUAAGAUAGGCUAUGGGGAAGUGGCCCAGGGAAAUGCAGAGCAGCAAUUAGUAAAGGGAUGCAGCUCAAGGCUGCUGUACUUAGAGUCACUGGGUUGGGACCUGGAGCAGUGAGCAGGAUUGGGUCCCCCCACCAGCCCCUGGGUGGAAGUGGCUAUGGUUUUAGGAAGGAAAUUAGAAGUGUGGCACACCAGGGAAAGGGGUUGCACUACCAGACUGAGUCAGUGGGGAGCUAUGGUCAACCAACUGAGUUCAAGAGGAGUGGCUCAGCUGGGGACACUGAGGACUCAAAUGAAGGCAGAGUCUCCAGGGAGGAGGCCUUGGGGGUGCUGCUCCACUCAGAGCAGGAACCGUUGCAGGACUGAGCCCAGGAAAGGCUACAGAGAAGGACAUGCCCAACUGAGGGUGCUGUGAGGGGCUGUUUUAGAAGACUGAGCCCAGGGAGGGCUGCAGAACUUUCUGGAUUAUGUACCCUGGAAGGGGGGUUUGUUUUGCACAUGGACAGAGAAUGAUUGGCCGAAGGUCUGAGUCAUCAAAGACCAACCUGACAAGUACAGUGGCCAAUGGGUGGGUACUGUGAGAAGAGGAAAAACUGCAGGCAUGCACACAGUCAACCAGGGCGCUUGCGAGAGAUGAAUGCACCCAUUACAGAGAUUAGAUGUUUACAUAAACAAGAAUAUCCAAGUUAUAUCCUUUCCAAACUCUUUGUUUUGUAACUAUUAUAAACCCUCAUGCCUCAGUGCUAGCUGGUAUCAACAGGAGGGUUAGCAGAAACUUUCCCUGUGCACAGGUUAACUCUCUACGGCAGCAUUUCUUGCACCACGUAUGAAGCAUCUGGUGCUGGCCAUGAGUGGUAACAGGAUUCUUGAUGAGAUGGACCAUUGUUUUUGAUCCAGGAUGGUAAUUCCUGUGAGUAAACUGUACAGCGUGUCUUUGGUCAGGAGCUUGCACUGAGGUGAAUCAAGCUAGCAACUGGCUGUGGUAUAGUUAUAUCUUACACCAUACAUUCUGUAAAGUGAUAAUCCUUAAGGAGAGCGGGUGAGCACCUCCAUAUUUACAGCAGUUUGUUCUAUAGUCGACAGAGCUGAGUAUUUGAAGGCAGGAUGUUUUCAGAGGGCUUCCAACUAUGGAAUUUUCUCCCAUCAUUCGCCUAAGAAUGUCUGAAGGCUGGAACCUUCCACGCAUAGCAUAAACUUCCAUUUAUUGAAGCUUCUGCCUGAUGAGGUGAUGGAGUCUACAUAUGCUUCCAGUUUGAUCUUGAGGGGGAAUGUAUUUACAUGUAUUUGAAGUUUGUCUACUUAAUGUAUUGAAUAAUUCCUGGGUGCAACUGUAUUCCGAGAAGGAUGUGCUGGGCAUAUUUUUAGUCAGAUUUCAAAAGAUGACAACUACCGACAAUUUAUUAAAUCAAUGGAAUUAGAUGCUCAUAAUCAUCCAUAGUUACUUAUUUUCUUCACUGCCUAAAAGAGUUCUAGGUGCCUCAUGGUAUGAGGUAUGGUACAUAUUUUGAGAGGUUAAAAAUCUUAAUUUAUCAUCAAUGGGCUCAGGCCUAUAAAAAACAGAAAAUAGGGUGACACUUGACAUAAGAAUACAAACCAUAUACUUGUAUACUAUUAUAUUUGGCUUCCUAAUUUGUAAAGCAUGCAAUGGCUGAAAGACUCAUUUUACGCUCUUCUGAAGAUAUGAUGCCUCUAUCAUUGUUCAUGAAACACUUACUCCAGCUACUAACACAG